rnacentral:rRNA from 1 species
GAUGAACGCUGGCGGCGUGCUUAACACAUGCAAGUCGAACGGUGAAGGCGGAGCUUGCUCUGCUGGAUCAGUGGCGAACGGGUGAGUAACACGUGAGCAAUCUGCCCCUGACUCUGGGAUAAGCGCUGGAAACGGCGUCUAAUACUGGAUACGAGCUGCGAAGGCAUCUUCAGCAGCUGGAAAGAAUUUCGGUCAGGGAUGAGCUCGCGGCCUAUCAGCUUGUUGGUGAGGUAAUGGCUCACCAAGGCGUCGACGGGUAGCCGGCCUGAGAGGGUGACCGGCCACACUGGGACUGAAACACGGCCCAGACUCCUACGGGAGGCAGCAGUGGGGAAUAUUGCACAAUGGGCGAAAGCCUGAUGCAGCAACGCCGCGUGAGGGACGACGGCCUUCGGGUUGUAAACCUCUUUUAGCAGGGAAGAAGCGAAAGUGACGGUACCUGCAGAAAAAGCGCCGGCUAACUACGUG